GUAAAAAAUCCUGUCUUCAAAGGAGAGCAGGAAUAAAGCAAACUUCCCAGAGUAAGAAAUGAGGAAUUUCAGCAUGGAAACACCACGGCUGGAGCUUCCCAACAUCCCAGAUCCAGUUUGGGUCCCUGAUCCAGGUCCUGCCGGGCCAGCUCGCUCUGCUGCCUCACCCACCUGCGGGAAUUAAAUCCAUGGAAAAGGAGACGUCACCAGGCUCCCCCAGACAAAUCCUGCUCAGGAUCAUCCCCUGGGCCCGGCAGCAGCUCCUUAAAGGCUUCGGCCGUGACCCAAGACCUGCCGGGGCACUGCAGGGACAAUUCCCACGGAUCCUCCAGCCAUCCCUCCCCAAACCCCACCAUUCCCAGCAGCUGGAGCAGCAUCCCAGUCCCUCAGGGGCACCCCCCUACAGGUGGCAUGUGAAGGAGGGAAAUAAAUCAGGGAAUUUGCCCCCUUUGGGGCUCGGAA